UAUUUGCUAGUAACACAGAGGUGGACAUCAGCUCAUGCCCCAUCACGUACUUUGGACAGAAAUACGAACAACUUUAUCUGAACUUCACCAGUGACAACUUUGUUCUCUGUUUCACCGGCUUUUAUGAGCCUCAGGGCAGAGGAGACUGCUUGGUGGCGCCUCAAACAGACAA